UACGUAGGUGGCAAGCGUUGUCCGGAUUUACUGGGCGUAAAGAGCGCGCAGGCGGUCGUUCAAGUCGCGUGUGAAAGCCCCCGGCUCAACUGGGGAGGGUCACGCGAUACUGAUCGACUCGAAGGCAGGAGAGGGUAGUGGAAUUCCCGGUGUAGUGGUGAAAUGCGUAGAGAUCGGGAGGAACACCAGUGGCGAAGGCGGCUCGCUGGGCCGGACCUGACGCUGAGAAGCGAAAAGCAUGGGGAGCGAACAGG
rnacentral:rRNA from 1 species